rnacentral:rRNA from 1 species
AGUGGCGGACGGGUGAGUAACGCGUAAGAAUCUAACUUCAGGACGGGGACAACAGUUGGAAACGACUGCUAAUACCCGAUGUGCCGCAAGGUGAAACCUAAUUGGCCUGGAGAAGAGCUUGCGUCUGAUUAGCUAGUUGGUGGGGUAAGGCCUACCAAGGCGACGAUCAGUAGCUGGUCUGAGAGGAUGAGCAGCCACACUGGGACUGAGACACGGCCCAGACUCCUACGGGAGGCAGCAGUGGGGAAUUUUCCGCAAUGGGCGAAAGCCUGACGGAGCAACGCCGCGUGAGGGAGGAAGGUCUUUGGAUUGUAAACCUCUUUUCUCAAGGAAGAAGUUCUGACGGUACUUGAGGAAUCAGCCUCGGCUAACUCCGUGCCAGCAGCCGCGGUAAUACGGGGGAGGCAAGCGUUAUCCGGAAUUAUUGGGCGUAAAGCGUCCGCAGGUGGUCAGCCAAGUCUGCCGUCAAAUCAGGUUGCUUAACGACCUAAAGGCGGUGGAAACUGGCAGACUAGAGAGCAGUAGGGGUAGCAGGAAUUCCCAGUGUAGCGGUGAAAUGCGUAGAGAUUGGGAAGAACAUCGGUGGCGAAAGCGUGCUACUGGGCUGUAUCUGACACUCAGGGACGAAAGCUAGGGGAGCGAAAGGGAUUAGAUACCCCUGUAGUCCUAGCCGUAAACGAUGGAUACUAGGCGUGGCUUG